rnacentral:rRNA from 1 species
GACAGAGGUGCCAAGCGUUAGGCGGAAUCACUGGGCUUAAAGCGUGUGUAGGUGGAUGCCUAAGUACCUUGUGAAAUCCCACGGCUCAACCGUGGAACUGCUCGGUAUACUGGGUGUCUUGAGCCACUUAGGGGCUACCGGAACAAAUGGUGGAGCGGUGAAAUGCGUAGAUAUCAUUUGGAACGCCAAUGGUGAAAACAGGUAGCUGGGAGUGUGCUGACACUGAGACACGAAAGUCAGGGGAGCGAACGGG